rnacentral:lncRNA from 1 species
AGAUUUUAUUCCACAUGCUAAGGCUAAUUCAGCGCGAUGCAGUUAGUUGAGAUAAAUAAAUAUUCUUGUUGUAGUGUCCAUUCGCGAGUUGAUGAGAGUUCUAUAUCAAUUAUUUUCUCUGUUUUACGAUGCAAUGAUUACAUUGUUUGCAGAAUAAUUGUGAUAUGUGACACAUCUGUUAAAUAUGUAUUAUUCAUUGUGUUAGGAGGUUAUUUAAUCAUGUAAAAGUUUGUUGGAGGGAGUAUUUUGUUUUAAC